rnacentral:rRNA from 1 species
UAGGGAAUCUUCGGCAAUGGACGAAAGUCUGACCGAGCAACGCCGCGUGAGUGAAGAAGGUUUUCGGAUCGUAAAACUCUGUUGUUAGAGAAGAACAAGGACGUUAGUAACUGAACGUCCCCUGACGGUAUCUAACCAGAAAGCCACGGCUAACUACGUGCCAGCAGCCGCGGUAAUACGUAGGUGGCAAGCGUUGUUCGGAUUUAUUGGGCGUAAAGCGAGCGCAGGCGGUUUCUUAAGUCUGGUGUGAAAGCCCCCGGCUCAACCGGGGAGGGUCAUUGGAAACUGGGUGAAUUGAGUGCAGAAGAGGAGAGUGGAAUUCCAUGUGGAGCGGUGAAAGGCGUAGAUAUAUGGAGGAACACAAGUGGCGAAGGCGUCUCUCUGGUCUGUGACUGACGCUGAGGCUCGAAAGCGUGGGGAGCAAACAGG